rnacentral:pre_miRNA from 1 species
UUUCUUUUUCAAAUACAAAAAUCAUCAAUUUGGUCUGUUAUAAAUGGCUUUUAUCACAGCCAAAACUGAUGAUCUUAUAAAUUUGUCAAACAU